UACAGAGGGUGCGAGCGUUAAUCGGAUUUACUGGGCGUAAAGCGUGUGUAGGCGGCUUCCUAAGUCGGUUGUGAAAUCCCUGGGCUCAACCUGGGAAUUGCAGUCGAUACUGGAAAGCUCGAGUUCGGUAGAGGACGGCGGAAUUCCCGGUGUAGCGGUGAAAUGCGUAGAUAUCGGGAGGAACAUCGAUGGCGAAAGCAACCGUCUGGGCCUGAACUGACACUGAGACACGAAAGCGUGGGGAGCAAACAGG
rnacentral:rRNA from 1 species